AAUCAACGCUGGCGGCGUGCCUAACACAUGCAAGUCGAACGCGAAAGUCCCGCAAGGGAUGAGUAGAGUGGCAAACGGGUGAGUAACACGUGGGUGACCUGCCUUCGAGCGGGGGAUAACGUCCCGAAAGGGACGCUAAUACCGCAUGACAUCCUACCUUUGAAGAGGUGGAGAUCAAAGCUGGGGAUCGCAAGACCUAGCACUUGAAGAGGGGCCCGCGUCUGAUAGCUAGUUGGUGGGGUAACGGCUCACCAAGGCAACGAUCAGUAUCCGGCCUGAGAGGGCGGACGGACACACUGGGACUGAGACACGGCCCAGACUCCUACGGGAGGCAGCAGUGGGGAAUUGUUCGCAAUGGGCGCAAGCCUGACGACGCAACGCCGCGUGGAGGAUGAAGACCU
rnacentral:rRNA from 1 species